AACACGUCAACAAACAAAUGAUAAAAUGAUAAAAAUCUGAAAAUGCAGGAUUCCAUCACUGAGUCAUUCAAACUCGGGCAGCGAGUCCACUUAGCAAAAGAUCCUAGACGAGUUGGCACAGUGAAGUACAUUGGAGCCGUAGAAGGAUAUUCAGGCACAUGGGUUGGCGUCGAUUGGGACAAUGGAACAAUGGAUCGCUUAACGGAGUUCAAUAUUUUCAGGCCAACUCGGAACGAUCCGGGUCAUUCGUUCGGGCCCAGAAUCUAAGUCCAGGAGUUUCGCUUACAGAUGGUCUGUAUAUCAGAUACAAAGGGGAAGAAGAGGAUGAAAUGUGUGUGCUUUCAGCAAGUAACAGAAGGGUAUCUGUGGAAUUUGUUGGAAAGGAGAAAAUCAACUAAUUUGGUGCCAAAUUUGAAGGAGCUAUACCUGACAGGAAAUUUACUUUCCGAUGGAAGUGGUAUCGAACUAUCAAGAUGGAGAGAACUGACAAAGGAGAAUGGUAAAGUGGCCAACUUGGAGAAGUUCACACAACAUUGCAUGGAAUAUCAUUUUAUUGUAAAUACUGUUUUGGUAGAUUGCACAGCAGACUCUAGGGUUGCAAGCUAUUACCACGGAUGGUAAUGAAAAAGGAAUUCAUGCGAUUACCUCAAACAAAAAGGCAAAUUCAGGGCCAGUCGAUCAGUAUCUAAAGCUGAGAGCUCUUCAUCGUCUAUCCUAAACAUGUUACUUCUAUGAAGCAACUGUUGAGCUGGUCUUCCAACAAUCAGAACUUUAUGAGAUCUUCUUGAAACUGGAGAUAAAAUGUUGCAAAUUGAAGGAAUUUUUAGGUAUGUAAUCUGAAGGCGUUGAUAUAUGCUGGAGUGGUGAGACAAGAAGGGCAUGUUGAGUUGCGAAGGUAUAAGAAAGAUCGUUCAUUUGCACAGCUCUCAGGAUUUGACAACAUCAUGCAUUCACCACUAUGAGGUACAAGGAACAACAGCCUUUAGUAGUUCACGGACCUGGUGCUGGUGCUCAAGCCACAGCUAGUGGAGUAUUCAGCAACAUGGCGAUUAGCCUCAUAUCCAGGCGCUCCAUUGUAAUAACCUCACUAUCAUAAUUAUCGUGUAUUCACUUUAGAUUUUAUUUUUCCUUUCAUUUGGCCUAUUGAUUUUGUGCUCCUGAGAGCUAUGCAGCGUAGAGUAGUUUUUGCAACCAUGUACUUGGCUCGGUGGUUCUUUGAAUCCAUUACAAUGAAAUUUAAAUAGAUGAAUUGAUGAUGAAGAAUGUGGACUUGAAA